UAGGGAAUCUUCCACAAUGGACGAAAGUCUGAUGGAGCAACGCCGCGUGAGUGAAGAAGGUUUCGGCUCGUAAAACUCUGUUGUUAAAGAAGAACAUAUCUGAGAGUAACUGUUCAGGUAUUGACGGUAUUUAACCAGAAAGCCACGGCUAACUACGUGCCAC
rnacentral:rRNA from 1 species